CAAGGCCAUUCAAUGGAGUGAGCAGCAGGAGGUACUGAAAGAGAGAUACUGUUAGCACUGUUUCCACAUGCCCAAAGAGUGAUCUUUAUGCAGCUGAGACUACAAGGGAUAUCCCUUAAAAUAAAGGCCAGCUUAUUACCCAUCUUCUCCAACUCCUGUGGAACUAAAUAUCCUGAAGUUGAGAGAAGCUGCUGCACAAAGCGUCUUUAUAGCUCUCAGUGUGCCUUCUUUGCUGGCUCCAGCUGCCCCUACACUGUUUUUCCUCACUCUUUUCUUCAAUAUUUUUUCCAGUUGACUUAGUUACUACAGUACAUGGACCAGACUGAGGAAAAUACACUGAAGGUUGGAGCUGGCAGAGCAGGGAGAGCUGCGAGGGAAGUGCCUUUGCCAUCCAUGACAUCACCCGUGCGUUAAUUGGUGGCGUUCCCGCGGAUGGGAGGCACUGGCCGGUGUCCUUGGGCUCACUUCCGUGAUACAGAACAGAGACACUGCCUGUCUCCUGCCAGCCUCUUUCAUUGCCAGCCUUCUGGCAAAGCUUAGGACAUUUAUAAAAACAGUACAGUACUUUAUUUAGCCUCUAGUGAGAAAAAGUCACUUCGCAGCUCCAGUUUAGGCACAAGGCACUAACAAGGAGAUUAAAAAAAAUAUAUCCUUUACAUAAAAACAUUUCAAGCGAAUACAAGGAUCUGUAUAAAAUUCUACAAAUGUGGGAAUAACCUUUCACUUAUGAUCCCAUUUCUGGCCCCACUGUAUUUCUUCUUUGCAGGUUCAUAUAUCUCUAUAUCUCUAAUCCCUUGUUUGUAGAUUUGGUAUGUGCACACAGCCAGAGAUAUAUAUCCCUGAUUGCUGUUAAUCCUUUCAGUGUUUUUACAUUAUACAGCAUAUGUCCAGGGAAAGUUCUGUCUUGUGCUUUAAUGAUACUCCCUGAUCCUCCAGCAACACUCCUGAAACAGAAAAUCACACCAUCCUGUUUCCAUCCCAGAGAGUUCUCAGGCUGUGAAUUGGGUUUUACUGCACAUCACAGAAACAAAGAACCUCUGAAUAUUUUCAAAAGUUCAGUCUGAUGUGUUUGCAAACCUAGAAAAGAAAUGGAAAGUUGGUAUAGAGGCUGGAUGUGGAGGAAGGAAGUCAGCACACAAAGGCCCCACACUGCAUCUUUGGACUUGCCUGUGACCUCGCAGGGGUCAAAAUCCAUGGCUGGAGCUGGUCAAAAAUUUUUUUUCUGAGGCCUAUGAUAGAAUGUGUUUUUCUCAUGAAGUAAACUCUACCAGAGAAUAAAUAUAUUUGCUAUUUUGAGGGUGUUGAGGCUCUGGAACAGGUUGCCCAAAGAAGUUAUUAAUGCCCCACUCCUGGAACUGUUCAUGGCCAGGCUGGAUAGGGCUUGGAGCACCUGGAAGGUGUCUGUGCCCCAUGGCAGGAGAACUGGAAUGAAGUGAUCUCUCAGGUCCCUCCCAAUCCAAACCUUUCUAUGAUUCUAUGAUUCUAAUAUUAAUUGGUUUGGAUUUUAAGUGUAACUUCAGGAACGAGGUCUUUCUGCUACAGGGUUUUACUUUAGUUGCAAAAUCUGUCAGAUAUGUUUUACUUUGAAUUCCCAGUAUAUGUGCUUAACCUUCAUUGCACCUUGAGGUAAUUUAUCUGUAAAUGAACACUAAUCCAAAAACCUGAAGUCAUGUGGGAUACUUCUAAUAUUUUGAAGAUAAGUAAUACUAAGCCUAAAUCACAUUUAAAGAUGAUAUUAAUUGAAGUAGUAGAUCAGGACAAAUCAGUAAAACAGAACAGCCAGUCAAACUGGGUUAUAGUUGCAUUGCUUUCCACAAAAGCACAAAGUACCCAUGGGGUAUUAAUUACCAUAUUAAUUAAUAUUUUUUUACAGUUCUUUGCAGAAGAACUUUGCAGGUGUCUACACCAUGUGUUGUGAAGAACCAAGAAGUGGUCAGUCUUGCCUACUAAAAUAAACUGGGAAAGGAAACCAGAUGUCAGGAACCUCCUCUGCUGGGGGGGGGGUUGCUGGCUCACAGGAGAGCUCCUGGAGCUGGUUGAGCCCACAGCUCCAUGGUGAGACUUCCAGCCCCUAAACCCUGGCAGUUCUGCAGGGGAUUAGGAUAACUCUGUGCUCCCAGGUCUUCCUGUCAGAACUGCAGCAUCAUGAAAGGUUUACUGGGAUAGAAAGAGAAGACAGGAAAGGGUUGGAGGGAGGAGAGGGGGGACUCAUCAUCCUUGAUGUAGAUAUUGAACAGCUGGACUUCAAAGACUGUGUUAGUCACCCGAGGCUCCAUGUAAAGUCAGUGGAGUGGAAAAGGAACUCCAGAUACUUGUCUCAGGACAGGAAAUGCCCGAUUCCCUGCUGCCUAUAGGACACAUGUAGGUACCUGGCUAGAGCUAAAGUUAGCUGAGGUGACCUUGCAUGGCUUAUUAGUUAUGACAGUCUCCUGGAAGGAGAGAUCCUGAGUUCUGGCCUCUGCUUCAGGGACUUCUGAUGGAGUUUGUGCAGAUUAAAGGUCACACGGACACCAGCAUUAGGGAAUGCAGAGUGUCCCUUCUUCCUCCAGUUAAGUGCAUUAUCCCAGGGGCUGAGUGCAUUAUCCCAGGGGCUGAGGUAUGCUGAGGAAAGUGGGAGAUGCAUGUUUGAAUGUCCUUUUACAGAAGAAGGAACUUGGUCCAUGUGCUGCUUCCAGAAGAGUGCUUUGACCAUUAAGCAUCUGAAAGUGGAAACCACGUCCUGCACAGCCCCUGCUCUGUGAGGCAGCAGGGCUGCCAUUACCUUCUUGGGGAGAAAGACCUGCCAGGAGGUCUUGCAGCAGCCUGGACAGACUGGUUGUUUCAGGAGGUUUAGGCUGAAGAGCAACUUAAGAGCUCUGAUGGACUUGGAAGUGAGCUGAGUGCUGAACUUUCAGACUUGUCAUGCCUGAGGCUCUACCUAGGGAGGAGCAGGAGACGUCACAGUUAAAAAGACUCUCCACACCUGACAGCUGGGCACAGCAAACCUGAAUCUCUCCCAGGGGUAUCAAACCCAGCUCCUGUUGUCUUCCCCUGGGUUUCUGGCAGCCCUUGGAUGACCCAUGGUGGAUCACAGGGGUGAGGCACCAGCUGAAGGGCUCUGGGUGACAGCUGCUCCAGGACACUGCUGUUUUUCCCAAACCUUGAAGCACACCCCAGUAAAAGCCUUGCAGGCAGAAGGCUGUGCUGCAGACCAGUGGGAGGGAGAGCAGGAGAAGGAACGACACAACACAUUACAGCCAGGGAAAAGGAUUCUGCAUCAGGGAUUACGUAACUUUUGACAUGUCCUACAUAUCACAAUCCAGUACCAGGGAGCUCACGCUGUACCCUGCCACGUUAGCAGGGCUCACUUUAGACAGCCACUGUUAAAUGACAUUCCUGUCCUGUCAGAGCUUCUCCAAUUUCAUGUCUACCACGUCCUUCUGGGGCAGCUCCUCAGAGCCCAUGUGCUGCGUGGCACCAGGCUGGAGCUGUACGCUGCACGUGCCUGUGCCCGGCCAGUGCCAGGGGAAGCUGCUCUUCUCUCCUGUUUCAGCUCCCUGCAGGAGGACAGAGGCUCAUGGACGAGCCCUUCACUCCACUGCAGGCCAGCACCCAACAGGACGUGGUUUGCAUUUAACUGCACCUCAGGAGUAGGAAUCCUCGUUUGGGAAGCAAAAUCCUUUGGCACUGUUACCAGACCAAACCCAUCCCUGCUGGCUUUACGGCCCCUGAUGGCUUUUCCACAUUUCACAUGGGACUGAGCUCUCAAAUGCAUUUUACAAACUUGACCAACUCCCUCCAAUAUCUGCUGAUGUUCGUUUUCCCACUGAUAUUUUGCUUAUUCCAAAUUAACUCCACACCUUGAGAUUUUUGUUUUCAUUAGAUUUUUUUUUUACAGCAGAGAAAAUGGGAAAGUGAAAGAGCAUCACAUGUACAGCCUGGGAAGAGCACAAAGACAGCCAGGCAGCCAUUGCAGGGGUUUGGCACCUCGUUCAGGAAUGAGCACAUGCAGGUAGAAUGUUAUUCUGCUGCUCCUGCUGAGCACUUAGCAGUUCAGUCUCUGCUGAAUCCCAAAGUCGAGCAAAAAGCAGCUGGUUAAGGUGGAAUUUGAAAAUCAGUCAUAAGAUAAACAGGUUGCAACAUUAAGCACUCUCCAAGGGAAAAGCAGUGUGCAGCAUAUGUUCUUACUUUGGAAGAUAUUUAAAAAAAAAAAAAA
ensembl:lncRNA